GCAGUGGUGGUCCAAUGGUAGAAUUUUCACCUUCCAUGUGGGAGAACCAGGUUCAAUUCAUUGCCAGUGCA
rnacentral:tRNA from 1 species